rnacentral:lncRNA from 1 species
ACUGUAGAGUGAGAGGUUGUUAACAAAGAAUAUAUAUUGGUCAUUCUUACAACUACUAUUUAAAGUCAGCAACUUUUCACUGAAUUUGAUAGAUUUUGUUUGGCCAUAUCUUCAUGCUCAUAUUUGAUUUCUGAAGACUUCCUACAUACACUUUAAUAAAAGUUAAACAGACAUAGCCCCUCUUUUUUGAUUUACUGGUACAUUUUUAAGUAAUAAAUCUGCCAUAAAAUGCACUAUAGCUGGAGACUUGCACUUGUAUGGAUGAAUUUAUUACAUUCAACAUAUUUAAUUUUAUGCCUUCUAAGAUGCAGAAAAAAAUAAAUGAACAUGAUUUUAUUCUAUGCCAAACAUUUGGGCCUCUGAAUGUAUCCAUUAUUUGAAUUUACUAUAUGAAAAGGUAUGGUCAAUUGGAAAAGUCGCUUUAAACUGUUUUCCUCAAGGGCUCCUCUUAUUCCUGGACUGUGUGGGUUUGUUCCUGAAGUCACAUGUAUGUAUCAACAUGGAGGCUCUGUAGAGGAGAGAGGCUGGGCCUCUCUGGUGCUGUUACAGUACGUUCUGUACCUGCCAUACAGGCUCGUUUUCAUGCAAAUUCUUCCUAGAGCCAAUAAAUAAAAAUGUAGGUAAAUUAGUAUGUCUUGUUUCUAAAAUAGUUGCCAUGGUGUGCAAUGGUAUUUCUACAGGAAAACUUUUUGAAACUUGAGCGUGGGGGAAAAGAGGAUGUUUUUGUAAGACCAGUUAUUGUAAAGAAAGCUGAAAGCUGCACGCAGUGGCACUCAGUUAUAAUCCCAUAUGGGACAGUCUUUUCUUCACAUUUCACGUUCCAGCACGACCAGGGCUAUUUAGAAAGACCCUGUCUGAAGAAAGUAGAAAAAGGAAGAGCUGACGUGACUAUUAAUAUUUAUAUAGAGGUGGCAGCCUGGCAUCGUUCCUUAUACAUCCCUGCCUGGGAAGAUUGAGGUAUAGAGUUUGCUCAGAAAAUACAGUCUGAGACCCUGCCUCAAAAAUUGGGGUAAGGAGAAAGAAUCACAAUUCUAAGAAUUGAGGAUGU